AUUUCAAUAAAUAAUGUAUGAUCAGAGGCACAUAGACAUUGUACUUUUGUGUUCCUCUCCUAAGAAUAUACUCCUUUGGUCUCAAUGUGUGUGAAUGCCUAGAGUGUUGUAUAAUUUAUCAGUGUAUGGAAGAUUUUAGAAGAUGAGAAUAAUUUAAGAAUUUUAUUUUAAGAUGGAAAAAAAACAAAGUAGAAUUUAGAAGGCAGGAAGGAAAUGGAUGUUAUGGUAAUGGUAGAAUUUCCAGAGAAAGUGAUACAGAUAUUUUCCAAAGGGGGGAAAAUAUCCUAAAAAUUUCAGAGAGAAAAGUGAAGAUACAGCAAGUUAAGAUGGAGAGGGACUUUUGCUGGAAUUUAACACUCAUAAAAAAGGAAUUGUUGAGAAGAGAGCUUUGAAGACAUAGACAUACAUUUUGAUUUUGCAUAUACUCCUUUCAAGCUAUAGGUUGCCUUGGAGAAGGAAUUUUUUAAUUUUUAAUAACUGUUCCAUGUCUUUGUUUUAAAUUCCUAAAAUGGUGAUAAUUGAAGUGUUUAUUUCUUAUGAUAUAUGAGAAUUAAAUGCAAUUAUGUAUGAAAGCAUACUGCUAAGUGUCUGGCAUUCAGAAGGGACUCACUAGAUAUGUAAUUAGUAUAAAUGGUAUUUUUGAGGUGAGCAUUUGUUGAGUCUCAUACUUUGUUGUAGGGUUGAUGAAGCUAGAGGCAACAUGGCAAAUAAAAAUCUUCUUCAAAUUAGGAAUGUCUUUUGCUUGUUCAAGUCUUUAAACCAAAUAAAUCAAUGUCCUUCUUAUAUCUGCUCAAUUAGAGAAUAAGAUUAAAUAGAGAAAACCUGACUGCUAUGGUAUAUUAUGUACCAACACAAAAACACAAGCAAAUGAAAUGACAAAAUAUG